rnacentral:rRNA from 1 species
GCCGAUUAGGUAGUUGUUGGGGUAAAAGCCCAACAAGCCCGUAAUCGGUACGGGUUGUGGGAGCAAGAGCCCGGAGAUGGAUUCUGAGACACGAAUCCAGGCCCUACGGGGCGCAGCAGGCGCGAAAACUUUACAAUGCGGGCAACCGUGAUAAGGAAACCCCGAGUGCCAGCACAGGCUGGCUGUCCACCAGUGUAAACAACUGGUGAAGAAAGGGCCGGGCAAGACCGGCGCCAGCCGCCGCGGUAAUACCGGCGGCUCGAGUGGUGGCCGCUUUUACUGGGCUUAAAGGGUCCGUAGCUGGAUUCACAAGUCCCUUGAGAAAUCUAUCGGCUUAACUGAUAGGCGUUCAGGGGAUACUGUGGUUCUAGGGACCGGGAGAGGUGAGAGGUACUGCCGGGGUAGGAGUGAAAUCCUGUAAUCCCGGUGGGACGACCUAUAGCGAAGGCAUCUCACCAGAACGGCUCCGACAGUGAGGGACGAAAGCUGGGGGAGCAAACCGGAUUAGAUACCCGGGUAGUCCCAGCUGUAAACGAUGCGCGUUAGGUGUGUCAGUGACCACGUGUCACUGAUGUGCCGAAGGGAAACCGUGAAACGCGCCGCCUGGGGAGUACGGUCGCAAGGCUGAAACUUAAAGGAAUUGGCGGGGGGGCACCACAACGGGUGGAGCCUGCGGUUUAAUCGGACUCAACGCCGGAAAUCUCACCGGAUAAGACAGCUGAAUGAUAGUCGGGAUGAAGACUCUACUUGACUAGCU